rnacentral:rRNA from 1 species
CUACGGAGGGUGCAAGCGUUACUCGGAAUCACUGGGCGUAAAGCGCGCGCAGGCGGCUUGAUAAGUUGGAUGUGAAGGCCUACGGCUCAACCGUAGAACUGCAUCCAAAACUGUCAAGCUAGAGUCUGGGAGGGGAAGAUGGAAUUAGUUGUGUAGGGGUAAAAUCCGUAGAGAUAACUAGGAAUACCAAAAGCGAAGGCGAUCUUCUGGAACAGUACUGACGCUGAGGCGCGAAAGCGUGGGGAGCAAACAGGAUUAGAAACCCUAGUAGUCC